GAUGAACGCUAUCUACAGGCUUAACACAUGCAAGUCGAGGGGCAGCAUGGUCUUAGCUUGCUAAGGCCGAUGGCGACCGGCGCACGGGUGAGUAACACGUAUCCAACCUGCCGUCUACUCUUGGACAGCCUUCUGAAAGGAAGAUUAAUACAAGAUGGCAUCAUGAGUCCGCAUGUUCACAUGAUUAAAGGUAUUCCGGUAGACGAUGGGGAUGCGUUCCAUUAGAUAGUAGGCGGGGUAACGGCCCACCUAGUCUUCGAUGGAUAGGGGUUCUGAGAGGAAGGUCCCCCACAUUGGAACUGAGACACGGUCCAAACUCCUACGGGAGGCAGCAGUGAGGAAUAUUGGUCAAUGGGCGAGAGCUUGAACCAGCCAAGUAGCGUGAAGGAUGACUGCCCUAUGGGUUGUAAACUUCUUUUAUAAAGGAAUAAAGUCGGGUAUGGAUACCCGUUUGCAUGUACUUUAUGAAUAAGGAUCGGCUAACUCCGUGCCAGCAGCCGCGGUAAUACGGAGGAUCCGAGCGUUAUCCGGAUUUAUUGGGUUUAAAGGGAGCGUAGAUGGAUGUUUAAGUCAGUUGUGAAAGUUUGCGGCUCAACCGUAAAAUUGCAGUUGAUACUGGAUAUCUUGAGUGCAGUUGAGGCAGGCGGAAUUCGUGGUGUAGCGGUGAAAUGCUUAGAUAUCACGAAGAACUCCGAUUGCGAAGGCAGCCUGCUAAGCUGCAACUGACAUUGAGGCUCGAAAGUGUGGGUAUCAAACAGGAUUAGAUACCCUGGUAGUCCACACGGUAAACGAUGAAUACUCGCUGUUUGCGGUAUACUGCAAGCGGCCAAGCGAAAGCGUUAAGUAUUCCACCUGGGGAGUACGCCGGCAACGGUGAAACUCAAAGGAAUUGACGGGGGCCCGCACAAGCGGAGGAACAUGUGGUUUAAUUCGAUGAUACGCGAGGAACCUUACCCGGGCUUAAAUUGCAGAUGAAUUACGGUGAAAGCCGUAAGCCGCAAGGCAUCUGUGAAGGUGCUGCAUGGUUGUCGUCAGCUCGUGCCGUGAGGUGUCGGCUUAAGUGCCAUAACGAGCGCAACCCUUGUUGUCAGUUACUAACAGGUUCCGCUGAGGACUCUGACAAGACUGCCAUCGUAAGAUGUGAGGAAGGUGGGGAUGACGUCAAAUCAGCACGGCCCUUACGUCCGGGACUACACACGUGUUACAAUGGGGGGUACAGAGGGCCGCUACCACGCGAGUGGAUGCCAAUCCCCAAAACCUCUCUCAGUUCGGACUGGAGUCUGCAACCCGACUCCACGAAGCUGGAUUCGCUAGUAAUCGCGCAUCAGCCACGGCGCGGUGAAUACGUUCCCGGGCCUUGUACACACCGCCCGUCAAGCCAUGGGAGCCGGGGGUACCUGAAGUGCGUAACCGCGAGGAGCGCCCUAGGGUAAAACUGGUGACUGGGGCUAAGUCAUAACA
rnacentral:rRNA from 1 species